AGGGUUUGAUCAUGGCUCAGAUUGAACGCUGGCGGUAUGCUUAACACAUGCAAGUCGAACGGAAACGAUACUAGCUUGCUAGUAGGCGUCGAGUGGCGGACGGGUGAGUAACGCGUAGGAAUCUGCCUGAUAGUGGGGGAUAGCCCGAAGAAAUUCGGAUUAAUACCGCAUAAUCUAUUCGUAGUAAAGUGGGGGACUUUUAAGCCUCACGCUAUCAGAUGAGCCUGCGUAAGAUUAGCUAGUUGGUAGGGUAAAAGCCUACCAAGGCAACGAUCUUUAGCUGGUCUGAGAGGAUGAUCAGCCACAUCGGGACUGAGACACGGCCCGAACUCCUACGGGAGGCAGCAGUGGGGAAUAUUGGACAAUGGGGGCAACCCUGAUCCAGCAAUACCGCGUGUGUGAAGAAGGCCUGAGGGUUGUAAAGCACUUUCAAUUGUGAAGAAAAGUUAACGGUUAAUAACCGUUAGCCUUGACGUUAACUUUAGAAGAAGCACCGGCUAACUCCGUGCCAGCAGCCGCGGUAAUACGGAGGGUGCAAGCGUUAAUCGGAAUUACUGGGCGUAAAGCGUGCGUAGGCGGUUUAUUAAGUCAGAUGUGAAAGCCCCGGGCUUAACCUGGGAACUGCAUUUGAAACUGGUCAACUAGAGUAUGGUAGAGGAAAGUGGAAUUUCUGGUGUAGCG
rnacentral:rRNA from 1 species